AGCCUGCGAAGGUAAGCAAAUCCCAAAAAUAACGUCCCAGUUCGGACUGCAGUCUGCAACUCGACUGCACGAAGCUGGAAUCGCUAGUAAUCGCGGAUCAGAAUGCCGCGGUGAAUACGUUCCCGGGUCUUGUACACACCGCCCGUCACACCAUGGGAGUCAGUAACGCCCGAAGUCAGUGACCUAACUGCAAAGAAGGAGCUGCCGAAGGCGGGACCGAUGACUGGGGUGAAGUCGUAACAAGGUAGCCGUAUCGGAAGGUGCGGCUGGAUCACCUCCUUUCUAAGG
rnacentral:rRNA from 1 species